rnacentral:rRNA from 1 species
UACAGAGGUCUCAAGCGUUGUUCGGAAUCACUGGGCUUAAAGGGCGCGUAGGCGGCUUACCAAGUCAGGGGUGAAAUUUUGCGGCUUAACCGUAACAGUGCCUUUGAUACUGGCGAACUCGAGGGAGGUAGGGGUGCGUGGAACUUCUGGUGGAGCGGUGAAAUGCGUUGAUAUCAGAAGGAACGCCGGUGGCGAAAGCGACGCACUGGACCUUUUCUAACGCUGAGGCGCGAAAGCUAGGGGAGCAAACGGG